rnacentral:rRNA from 1 species
UACGAAGGGGGCUAGCGUUGCUCGGAAUCACUGGGCGUAAAGCGCACGUAGGCGGAUCUUUUAAGUCAGGGGUGAAAUCCUGGAGCUCAACUCCAGAACUGCCUCUGAUACUGGGGAUCUUGAGUCCGGGAAGAGGUAAGUGGAACUGCGAGUGUAGAGGUGAAAAUUCGUAGAUAUUCGCAAAGAACACCAGUGGCGAAGGCGGCUUACUGGUCCGGUACUGACGCUGAGGUGCGAAAAGCGUGGGGGAGCAAACAGGGAUUAAGA